CUUGUGAGAGCGUUUAAAAAAAGCGACAAAGUUUAAUUUGAUUCUAUUGAUUGAUAAAAUGGUUAUAAUGUGUAUAUAUAGAAGUUCAUCAUUUAUCCAUAGGGAUUUCACAGAGGUCCGUGAUGGGGCCAUCUAACGUAGUCCAAUGUUUCCACAAAGUAUUGUCAACACCAGUCAAUGGACUAACGUCCUUCUUGGCUUGCACGCCGACAACACAGGGGUCAACAUAUCUACUAGGCUUAAUGACCACAAGAAGAAUAUAUAAUAUGCACACCGAUAAUCAAAAGAAGAUAAUAUAAUGACAUGCAUGAAUAUAAGAAACUGUACACCCUAGUAUGACAUUUUAAUCAUUUUGUUUGUAACUUUGGAACAUGACAACCCCAUAGGUCACAAUUACAUCUUAGUAUGCCUUGAAUGUUGAUUUAUUUGUAUAGAACCAUUGAACUCUCUAGCUGAGUUCUUAUUUACUUUCUGCAUUGACUAAGGGUGUGACCACUUAAAGUUAGGAUAAUUUUAUUGGUCCAAACAGUUUGGCUGCAAUUAUGAAGGCAUCAGUUGUUUAGUAGCCGAAGGAAAUGGUCACUAGGGGUUAUAGACCAAAUGAAUACGGAUAAGGAAGAAAUAUUUUGUCAAAUUAAGAAAAAUAUAUUAAUAAUACGAAGACAUUCUUCCACGGCAAACGUCUUUGGGGGAGAAAGGGCAAAGUUAAACAUUGAACAUCGGCCCAGAAAAGGGCGUGUGAAUGAUUAAUUUAAAAGACGUCAAAAACUUGUGUGUAUAAUUAUAUAUAUAUAUAUAUAUAUAUAAAGUUAAAGUUAUAUUUAUAUAUAUUACAUAAGCCAUGUACGACGACAUGACCUCAACAGACACAAAAUAAUCCUUCAAAUUAAUACAUAUUUGUACUUUACAUUAUACUUACAUUAUAUUUGACUAAACAUAUAAUAUACGUGUACGUAAAAGUCCAUUAAAAAAAAGACAUUGUUUACAUCUAUAAUAAUACAGAGUGAAAUUAUGCGUAGUCUUAUACCAAAUCAGAAAAGAAAACAAAUAUGAAUAUAAAAAAAAACGUUUCACUCAGUAAAACGUGGUCAUCUCCAGAAGUACAUCAUGUCAACUAUAUAUAAAAAGGAGGAACGGAUAUUUCUAUUAGUCGCGAGCAGUGACAAACAUCCAGACAACACGUAUCCCUGAAAAUAUGAAAUCAAAGAGAAGACUAUCCAACAUUCAGCAUUAACAUCAGAUCCAACCAUUUCAAUAAGUCAGUUAUUUAACACGAUGUUAAGAAUAAAUAAGCAUUUAGAACAAUAAAAACAAAAGAACAAAAAAAAAUAACUCGAGGUCAAUCGGUGAUUACAAAACGUGCCUCAAACAGUUAGAACAAAAAAACAACAAAAAAAAAACUGUUCGCUAAUAUGUGUUUUAAAACAACGAACAGAGAGUGCAACGAUGAAUAUAUUACUUCAAAAUAAAUAAAAAUUGUAAUCAAGAUUAACGGAAGAAAUAUUUUUAAAAAAUGGAAUAAAUAAUAUAAGUUUAAAUAAAUAUUUUGUAAACUGAACAUUUUAAACCAGGCGUCAUCAGUGUGAAGCAUAGUUUUAAAAUCAAUUUAACGUGUACAAAAAUAUUAACAUUUUAUGCAAAUCUUAGUGACCAGAUUAGAAUCAUAUCUUUGUUUCGUUUUAAUUUAUAGAUCUAUGUACCUCGAAGCAUUCGGUCGCCUCGCGGUAAACAUAAUGGAAUGUGUUGGGAAUCGUUUCAGUUCCAAAAUUAAUGAAAGUGUUGUUUUGUCAUAUAGAUAAGAAAUGUUCAUAGAAUUUUUUUAAAAAAUCACACACUAGGGGAAUGUGAAAUACUCAGUACUAUAUAUAUUACUUUCAAAGUAAUGAGUAACUUAAAUUACAAAUCAGAAUAAAAAUUGAAAACAGAGAGGAAUGUUAGGGAACUCUUCCUGGAAAUAGAGAUAGAUAUAUGGAUUCAAAAAGAAUGAACUGGAAUUUUGUGGAACAAUAAAUACACGUAAUAUCAUAAUUCACAAAAGAGUGCUUCAGCCCUUGGAUUAUUGACGGGAAGAUGUGCUAUGUAAAAAGUGGAUGCUCCGUUAAAAUCAUUGACUAGAAGUUCGCAAGCCUUGUACUUAUGUUAUUGACAUACAAGCACACUAGUGCCAGUUGGUAUCGAUACUCACGUCUCAUGUCUAUACAUUGCCCUUGUCCAAACAAAGUCUUUCUUCCCACCCCCACCAUUCCCGCUCACUCAAUCUCCCUCUCUCACUCUUCCUCUGCCCCCCCCCCCC